rnacentral:rRNA from 1 species
GAAUGCUGACAUAAGUAACGAUAAAGCGGGUGAAAAGCCCGCUCGCCGGAAGACCAAGGGUUCCUGUCCAACGUUAAUCGGGGCAGGGUGAGUCGACCCCUAAGGCGAGGCCGAAAGGCGUAGUCGAUGGGAAACGGGUUAAUAUUCCCGUACUUGGUGUUACUGCGAAGGGGGGACGGAGAAGGCUAUGUUGGCCGGGCGACGGUUGUCCCGGUUUAAGCGUGUAGGUGUGUGUUCCAGGUAAAUCCGGUUCACUUUAACACUGAGGCGUGACGACGAGGCACUACGGUGCUGAAGCAACAAAUGCCCUGCUUCCAGGAAAAGCCUCUAAGCAUCAGGUAACAUCAAAUCGUACCCCAAACCGACACAGGUGGUCAGGUAGAGAAUACCAAGGCGCUUGAGAGAACUCGGGUGAAGGAACUAGGCAAAAUGGUGCCGUAACUUCGGGAGAAGGCACGCUGACACGUAGGUGAAGUGAUUUACUCAUGGAGCUGAAGUCAGUCGAAGAUACCAGCUGGCUGCAACUGUUUAUUAAAAACACAGCACUGUGCAAACACGAAAGUGGACGUAUACGGUGUGACGCCUGCCCGGUGCCGGAAGGUUAAUUGAUGGGGUCAGCGCAAGCGAAGCUCCUGAUCGAAGCCCCGGUAAACGGCGGCCGUAACUAUAACGGUCCUAAGGUAGCGAAAUUCCUUGUCGGGUAAGUUCCGACCUGCACGAAUGGCGUAAUGAUGGCCAGGCUGUCUCCACCCGAGACUCAGUGAAAUUGAACUCGCUGUGAAGAUGCAGUGUACCCGCGGCAAGACGGAAAGACCCCGUGAACCUUUACUAUAGCUUGACACUGAACAUUGAGCCUUGAUGUGUAGGAUAGGUGGGAGGCUUUGAAGUGUGGACGCCAGUCUGCAUGGAGCCGGCCUUGAAAUACCACCCUUUAAUGUUUGAUGUUCUAACGUGGACCCGUUACCCGGGUUGCGGACAGUGUCUGGUGGGUAGUUUGACUGGGGCGGUCUCCUCCUAAAGAGUAACGGAGGAGCACGAAGGUUGGCUAAUCCUGGUCGGACAUCAGGAGGUUAGUGCAAUGGCAUAAGCCAGCUUGACUGCGAGCGUGACGGCGCGAGCAGGUGCGAAAGCAGGUCAUAGUGAUCCGGUGGUUCUGAAUGGAAGGGCCAUCGCUCAACGGAUAAAAGGUACUCCGGGGAUAACAGGCUGAUACCGCCCAAGAGUUCAUAUCGACGGCGGUGUUUGGCACCUCGAUGUCGGCUCAUCACAUCCUGGGGCUGAAGUAGGUCCCAAGGGUAUGGCUGUUCGCCAUUUAAAGUGGUACGCGAGCUGGGUUUAGAACGUCGUGAGACAGUUCGGUCCCUAUCUGCCGUGGGCGCUGGAGAACUGAGGGGGGCUGCUCCUAGUACGAGAGGACCGGAGUGGACGCAUCACUGGUGUUCGGGUUGUCAUGCCAAUGGCACUGCCCGGUAGCUAAAUGCGGAAGAGAUAAGUGCUGAAAGCAUCUAAGCACGAAACUUGCCCCGAGAUGAGUUCUCCCUGAGACUUAGAGUCUCCUGAAGGAACGUUGAAGACGACGACGUUGAUAGGCCGGGUGUGUAAGCGCAGCGAUGCGUUGAGCUAACCGGUACUAAUGAACCGUGAGGCUUAACCUUACAACGCCGAAG